rnacentral:rRNA from 1 species
CGUCUAUAUACGUAUAGCAUAUCAAUAAGCGGAGGAAAAGAAACUAACAAGGAUUCCCUUAGUAACGGCGAGUGAAGCGGGAAGAGCUCAAAUUUGAAAUCUUCAAGGUUCUACCUUGACGAAUUGUAGUUUAAAGAAGUGUUUUCUGUUAGAGGAGUAGCAAAAAUUCCUUGGAAUGGGACAUCAUAGAGGGUGAGAAUCCCGUAUUUGGUUAUUCUUUCUAGCUUUGUGAUACACUUUCAAAGAGUCGGAUUGUUUGGGAAUGCAGUCCAAAAUGGGUGGUAAAUUUCAUCUAAAGCUAAAUAUUGGCGAGAGACCGAUAGCGAACAAGUACCGUGAGGGAAAGAUGAAAAGAACUUUGAAAAGAGAGUUAAACAGUACGUGAAAUUGUCAAAAGGGAAGCGUUUGACACCAGUGUUGUUUUUCCGAAAAUCAAUUAAGAGUGGCUUGAUUUUGUGUUGUAUUGACCUUAUCAGCUUUCUUCACUCUUUUUCGAGUCUUUCUUAAUGCACUUUUCGGUUAACAAGUCAACAUCAAUUUCUUUUGUUGUAAAAGGGUAUUUGGAAGGUGGCUUUCUUUUCGGAGAAAGUGUUUAUAGCCUUAUACCUCUACAAUCGGAGAGAUUGAGGUCUGCAGCGUAGAUCCUUCGGGGCUAGAUACACUUGUGCUAAGUUAUAGCUUUUCAUAGACAACUUGUUGACUAUGUUUAGUCAUGUAGCUUACCCGCUUGUGCUAUUUUACCUACGCUUAGGAUGUUGAGUCAUCACACAUCUCU